GCAGCCGCGGUAAUACGUAGGUGGCAAGCGUUGUCCGGAAUUAUUGGGCGUAAAGCGCGCGCAGGCGGUUCCUUAAGUCUGAUGUGAAAGCCCCCGGCUCAACCGGGGAGGGUCAUUGGAAACUGGGGAACUUGAGUGCAGAAGAGGAGAGCGGAAUUCCACGUGUAGCGGUGAAAUGCGUAGAGAUGUGGAGGAACACCAGUGGCGAAGGCGGCUCUCUGGUCUGUAACUGACGCUGAGGCGCGAAAGCGUGGGGAGCGAACAGGAUUAGAUACCCUGGUAGUCCACGCCCUAAACGAUGUCAACUAGGUGUAUGGAGAAUUUAUUCUUUGUGUAUCGAAGCUAACGCGAUAAGUUGACCGCCUGGGGAGUACGGUCGCAAGACUAAAACUCAAAUGAAUUGACGGGGGCCCGCACAAGCGGUGGAGCAUGUGGUUUAAUUCGAUGCAACGCGAAGAACCUUACCUGGCCUUGACAUGUACGGAAGAUUGAAGAGAUUCGAUUGUGCCUUCGGGAACCGUAACACAGGGUGCUGCAUGGCUGUCGUCAGCUCGUGUCGUGAGAUGUUGGGUUAAGUCCCCGCAACGAGCGCAACCCCCUGUUCC
rnacentral:rRNA from 1 species